rnacentral:rRNA from 1 species
CCCAGACAGCCAGGAUGUUGGCUUAGAAGCAGCCAUCAUUUAAAGAAAGCGUAAUAGCUCACUGGUCGAGUCGGCCUGCGCGGAAGAUGUAACGGGGCUAAACCAUGCACCGAAGCUGCGGCAGCGAACGUAUCACUUAAAGCGAUUCAGCGGGUUACGAUUGACGGAGCGAAGCGACGUCAAAGCGUAUACAAAGUCGAGUCGGUUUAAGGAUACGUUCGUUGGGUAGGGGAGCGUUCUGUAAGCCUGUGAAGGUGGCCUGUGAGGGUUGCUGGAGGUAUCAGAAGUGCGAAUGCUGACAUAAGUAACGAUAAAGCGGGUGAAAAGCCCGCUCGCCGGAAGACCAAGGGUUCCUGUCCAACGUUAAUCGGGGCAGGGUGAGUCGACCCCUAAGGCGAGGCCGAAAGGCGUAGUCGAUGGGAAACAGGUUAAUAUUCCUGUACUUGGUGUUACUGCGAAGGGGGGACGGAGAAGGCUAUGUUGGCCGGGCGACGGUUGUCCCGGUUUAAGCGUGUAGGCUGGUUUUCCAGGCAAAUCCGGAAAAUCAAGGCUGAGGCGUGACGACGAGGCACUACGGUGCUGAAGCAACAAAUGCCCUGCUUCCAGGAAAAGCCUCUAAGCAUCAGGUAACAUCAAAUCGUACCCCAAACCGACACAGGUGGUCAGGUAGAGAAUACCAAGGCGCUUGA